CAAUAGCGUAUAUUAACGUUGUUGCAGUUAAAAAGCUCGUAGUUGGAUUUCUGGAGGGAGCGUCGGCCCGUAUUUACGAGUGCGUGACGUCUCUGUCCAUCCUUGCGGGAAGGCACGGCAUUGAUUUGUUGUGUCGGAUCGCAUCAUUUACUGUGAAAAAAUUAGAGUGUUCAAAGCAGGCUUUCGCUUGAAUACAUUAGCAUGGAAUAAUAAGAUAGGACUUUGGUGCUGUUAUGUUGGUUGAGCCUAAAGUAAUGAUUAAUAGGGAUAGUUGGGGGCACCUGUAUUGCGUUGUCAGAGGUGAAAUUCUUGGAUUUACGCAAGACAAACAGCUGCGAAAGCGUCUGCCAAGGAUGUUUUCAUUAA
rnacentral:rRNA from 1 species